rnacentral:rRNA from 1 species
UACGUAGGGUGCAAGCGUUAAUCGGAAUUACUGGGCGUAAAGCGUGCGCAGGCGGCUUUGCAAGACAGAUGUGAAAUCCCCGGGCUUAACUUGGGAAUUGCGCUCGAAACUACGUGGCUCGAGUGUGGCAGAGGAAGGUGGAAUUCCACGUGUAGCGGUGAAAUGCGUAGAGAUGUGGAGGAACACCGAUGGCGAAGGCAGCCUUCUGGGCCAACACUGACGCUCAUGCACGAAAGCGUGGGGAGCAAACAGG